UGCAGCUUGUAUCUUUGCUGCCAUUGCUCCUAAAGAUUUAAAUCAUGCAGAAUUCUAUCAAGCUGCAUCCUUGAGGUCUGAUUUGUGGCAGAAUGGGCCAGCUUGAACAGUCCUGAACAUCCAGAAAGGAAGAGAGAGAGAGAUAAAUAGGGACAAGGGAGACAAUGUUUUUCUAACUGGCCACCACACAGAGCUGACACACACAUCACACAGAGCCACUCCUCCAAGACUGGGAGAACACUGUCUCCAGGACCCAU
rnacentral:lncRNA from 1 species